GAGUUUGAUCCUGGCUCAGGACGAACGCUGGCGGUGUGCUUAACACAUGCAAGUCGAACGCCUGUAGCAAUACAGGAGUGGCAGACGGGAGAGUAACACGUGGGAACGUGCCCUUCAGUUCGGAACAACCCAGGGAAACUUGGGCUAAUACCGGAUACGCCCGCAAGGGGAAAGAUUUAUCGCUGAAGGAUCGGCCCGCGUCUGAUUAGCUAGUUGGUGAGGUAACGGCCCACCAAGGCGACGAUCAGUAGCUGGUCUGAGAGGAUGAUCAGCCUCACUGGGACUGAGACACGGCCCAGACUCCUACGGGAGGCAGCAGUGGGGAAUCUUGGACAAUGGGCGCAAGCCUGAUCCAGCCAUGCCGCGUGGGUGAUGAAGGCCCUAGGGUUGUAAAGCCCUUUCGGCGGGGAAGAUAAUGACGGUACCCGCAGAAGAAGCCCCGGCUAACUUCGUGACAGCAGCCGCAGUAAC
rnacentral:rRNA from 1 species